AUUGAACGCUGGCGGCAGGCCUAACACAUGCAAGUCGAGCGAGCGGCGGACGGGUGAGUAAUGUCUGGGAAACUGCCUGAUGGAGGGGGAUAACUACUGGAAACGGUAGCUAAUACCGCAUACCAUCAGAUGUGCCCAGAUGGGGUUAGCUAGUAGGUGGGGUAACGGCUCACCUAGGCGACGAUCCCUAGCUGGUCUGAGAGGAUGACCAGCCACACUGGAACUGAGACACGGUCCAGACCACUACGGUAGGCAGCAGAGGGGAAUAUUGCACAAGGGGCGCAGGCCUGAUGCAGCCAUGCCGCGUGUGUGAAGAAGGCCUUCGGGUUGUAGAGCACUUUCAGCGGGGAGGCGUUACCCGAAGAAGAAGCACCGGCUAACUCCGUGCCAGCAGCCGCGGUAAUAC
rnacentral:rRNA from 1 species